GAUAGUGGAGGGGACACUCACUCGGGUCGAUAUUUGAAAACUGCAAAGUCUUCGAGACAAGUCUUCACCGCGCGAGUCUGUCUCCGGACAUCCAACCCUCUCAUCACCCAAGUCCCUUUUUAUGUAAAUUUUCAUUAUGGUCGCCAUCACCCUGUAACUUCCUCCUGCCAACCUCCCCCCACCCCCGAUAAACUUGUAUCCCCCUUGUCAGGUUAUCUCUCCCGACCCAUCGCUGCUUUCCUGCCCAUUUCCUUCUCGACAUAUCUCUUUCUGUCUGCAAGGAUAAACCUGCCCACAGCUCCCUCUUCUCCUCUGAUCACGCUUCUAUUCCCUUCACUUUCAGCCGCGGCUGCUCUCUCUCUCUCUCUGCCUUCCCUCUCUACUCUUAAUUCUCGCAUUCCCAGCGGAUUUCCUGUCUCCGCACCCCCGCCCCCCCCCCCCAUAAUUGUAAAAUGGUGGAAGAAUGUGUAAGGUCGUGAGUUGGAAGAGGAAACAAGUUAAAUUAAAACAGCGAGAGAGGCUGCGGUAUUAAAAUAUGAGGAGUUAAAUGGGAACGAAGGGCGGACGUGGUAAAAGGCUAAAAAGAGUGGUUGUGUUUCUGAGCUGGCACUGCGUUUGCCUGUUGUUUGGUUUUCUCACACGGCCUAGAACUGUGCUGGUAGGUUAACUGGCCACUGUGAACUACACCCAGUCAUCCAGGGACAUCGGGAGGAGCUGGUGGGCAUACUCAGUAGUACAAGAAUCACAAUGGAAUCAAUGAAAGACUUCACCCAACCGGACAGACAACCAACCAAUGUGCAAAGGACAGAAAGCUGUGAAAUUACAAAAGAGGAAAAAAAGGAAGUAAUGACAAUAAAUAAAUAAGCAAUAAGUAUCGAGAACAUGAGAUGAAGAGUCCUUGAAAGUGAGUCCAUAGGUUGUGGGAACAGUUCAGUGGUGAGGCCAGAGAAAUUGAGUGAAGUUAUUGGCUCUGGUUCAAGAGCCUGAUGGUUGAGGGGUAUUAACUAUUCCUGAACCUGGUGGUGUGAAUCCAGAGGCUCCUGUACCUUCUUCCCAAUGGCAGCAGCGAGAAGGGAGCGUGACCUGGGUGGUUGGGGAUGGAUGCUGUUUUCCUGCAACAGAAACUCUGCGUCAAUACUCGUAAUGGUGGGGAAGGCUUUACCUGUGGUGGACUGGGCCAAAUCCACGACUACGUAUUAGAUUUUCCAUUCAAGGACAUUGGUGUUCUCGUAUCAGGCAGUGAUGCAGCGGUCAACAUAUUCUCCACCACACAUCUAUAGAAGUUUGUCAUGCCGAAUCUUCACAAACUCCUAAGGAAACUGAAGUGCUGCUGUGCAUUCUUCAUAAUUGCAUUUCCGUGUUGGACUCAGAACAGAUCCUCUGAAAUUAUAACACUGAGGAAUUUAAUUUGCUGACCCUCUCCACCUCUGAUCUCCUGAUGACAAUUGGCUGAUCAAACUCAGGUUUCCUCCUCCUGAAGUCAAUAAUCAGCUCCUUGGUACAUAGAGUAAGAGGUUGUUGUUGUGGCACCACUUGGCCAGAUUUUCGGUCUCCGUCCUAUAUGCUGAUUUCUCACACCUUUGAUUCGGCCAAUGACAAUGGUGUCGUCAGCAAACAUAAAUAUGGCUUUGGAGUUGAGCUUAACCUCACAGUACCACGUACUGAGGAAAGAGUCCAAAAGAGUUACAGACUCCUGAGAAACAAUUACACAAAAAACCGAGGGACAUGGGGGGCUGAGGUGAUUUGGGAGUGAGAGACAUUGGGAUUGAGGAUAUUGGGAGUGAGAUUAGGUUCAAUCACAUUAGGUUUACAGGAUGCUGGGAGUAAGUCACAUUCUGAAUAAAGAUUACUUGCUCUUGAGCUCAGCCAACAUAACAUGCCCUCUCAACCUGAGAAACUUAUUACAUAAAUCAUCAAAACGUCGCUAAGUUUUCUCCCAAGAGGCUCCCCCU